rnacentral:rRNA from 1 species
ACCCUUUAAUGUUUGAUGUUCUAACGUGGACCCGUAAUCCGGGUUGCGGACAGUGUCUGGUGGGUAGUUUGACUGGGGCGGUCUCCUCCUAAAGAGUAACGGAGGAGCACGAAGGUUGGCUAAUCCUGGUCGGACAUCAGGAGGUUAGUGCAAUGGCAUAAGCCAGCUUGACUGCGAGCGUGACGGCGCGAGCAGGUGCGAAAGCAGGUCAUAGUGAUCCGGUGGUUCUGAAUGGAAGGGCCAUCGCUCAACGGAUAAAAGGUACUCCGGGGAUAACAGGCUGAUACCGCCCAAGAGUUCAUAUCGACGGCGGUGUUUGGCACCUCGAUGUCGGCUCAUCACAUCCUGGGGCUGAAGUAGGUCCCAAGGGUAUGGCUGUUCGCCAUUUAAAGUGGUACGCGAGCUGGGUUUAGAACGUCGUGAGACAGUUCGGUCCCUAUCUGCCGUGGGCGCUGGAGAACUGAGGGGGGCUGCUCCUAGUACGAGAGGACCGGAGUGGACGCAUCACUGGUGUUCGGGUUGUCAUGCCAAUGGCACUGCCCGGUAGCUAAAUGCGGAAGAGAUAAGUGCUGAAAGCAUCUAAG